GAUUCUGGCUCAGAUUGAACGCUGGCGGCAGGCCUAACACAUGCAAGUCGAACGGUAACAGGAAGAAGCUUGCUCUUGCUGACGAGUGGCGGACGGGUGAGUAAUGUCUGGGAAACUGCCUGAUGGAGGGGGAUAACUACUGGAAACGGUAGCUAAUACCGCAUAACGUCGCAAGACCAAAGAGGGGGACCUUCGGGCCUCUUGCCAUCGGAUGUGCCCAGAUGGGAUUAGCUAGUAGGUGGGGUAACGGCUCACCUAGGCGACGAUCCCUAGCUGGUCUGAGAGGAUGACCAGCCACACUGGAACUGAGACACGGUCCAGACUCCUACGGGAGGCAGCAGUGGGGAAUAUUGCACAAUGGGCGCAAGCCUGAUGCAGCCAUGCCGCGUGUAUGAAGAAGGCCUUCGGGUUGUAAAGUACUUUCAGCGGGAGGAAGGGAGUAAAGUUAAUACCUUUGCUCAUUGACGUUACCCGCAGAAGAAGCACCGGCUAACUCCGUGCCAGCCGCAGC
rnacentral:rRNA from 1 species